GAAUGUUGUUCUUGUACAGAAUGUGUUCUGGGGACAUACACAUUCAUUUCUAGGAGUGGUAGUGCUGGGUCAUACGGGUGGAGCCCAGGAAAGCCAGUGGUGUAGUUCAGUCGGAGUCUGAAGGCCUGGGAAACAGGAGAGCUAUUGGUAUGCCACUGGGACACCAGAAUUAGCUACAGUCACUCUCCAGUGUAUUCCUCUGAGCAUGACAGGACUCAAAGCGAAGGAGGAGUUUAUUUCUGGAAAACAAGGGUGACAUCGUGACACAGGCUUGUGGGGCACUGUGUGCCAAGCUGGCUUUGAUAUUUGUGGAUCUUAUGAUAUUUCCAGAACACCAUGCCCAUCAGAACAGCACCCUGCAGUGGCCGCAGUGACAAGCAGAGCUACGUCGUCUGUACUACUGGUCUGAGCGAUUCCAACUGCAAGCUCCUGGAAGGGAGGGGUUGGGGCUUGUUCAGUUUUGCAUCUUCAGAAUUGGAACCUAAAUCCCGUCCCUACAUGUUGACUCGAUGCAUGGCCAGUAAGUGCAAAAAAAAAAUAAUAAUAACUUGUCUGGCCCCCGCACUUCAGACAGGAUAUGGACGUGGGGCUGGCAAGUUUCCAUGGAUGUGGAUGAAGAGGGUCUGCUGGCCAGAGUGCUGUGGUAGGGUGAGAACCCUGGAUUUAGCUGUGGGCUUCAGAACCAGACUUUCAUUGCAAGCUGUCCCUGGUGGGUGCUUUAUGCGUGCUUCAAAACCAUAAACUGGAUGAGCAGAUGCCUGGUGGUAGCGGGCUGCUUGUUUUCAGGGGGGUAGACGUGCCCAGUGGGCACCUGAAGCAUGCAUUGCCCAUCGCACACGAGUUUUUCUGUCAGGCACAGAAAUAAACCUUUCCUUUUCCUGGGCAGUAAAAGAACAGAGCUUUGAAAAGCCAUGGAAAAACAAAUUAAACAGUGCCACACUACGGAGUAUCCUCUCUCUCCUCUCUUCUCGUAAAACCAAGUGAGACUGUUACUCCAUUUGAAUGAGUCCUGGUCAGUAGCAAUGGGAACUAGGAAACCCUUGAGGGAAGAGGUCAGACUCACAAGGUUAAACUAUAAAACUUAGAGGAUAUCUUCCAAUUAGGAAAGAGGUAGGAAAUGAAGAAUGCUUUUGGAUUUCCAGUAAAUGUAAUGCUAAAAUAUUUGGCCAUUUGUCUAUUGCCAUGUAUCAAUCCAAUUAACCUUGCGCCAUGCGCCCAACUGCAUUCAGUGAUCCUGAUGUGUUACAAAUCAAUAUAAAAUAUCCCACUGCUGAUGGGGAUCCUCAGGAACAGAGAAAGUCCAGCUUUUGAGUUUCAGAGUUUUGAAAAUGAGUGAAAUUCACCUCUCGAGUUAUGAAGGUAGUGAUAGUCUAUGAUUUGGUUGCAAACAAACAGGACUUUCAUUUUACCGGCAACAUAAAUUUGUCAAAAUCAUCAGCAUGUAGGACUUUGGAUUCUGAUUAGCAGUGAUAAUGGGAAAUGAUUUCUAAUAUUCUGCAGUUGAAAUGACCCAUUAGUAAUGAA